GUAAGGAAUAUUGGUCAAUGGGGGCAACCCUGAACCAGCCAUGCCGCGUGAAGGAUGAAGGCGUUAUGCGUUGUAAACUUCUUUUGUAUGGGAAGAAUGACAGGGAUUUAUCCUUGGAGAGACGGUACCAUACGAAUAAGCACCGGCUAACUCCGUGCCAGCAGCCGCGGUAAUACGGAGGGUGCGAGCGUUGUCCGGAUUUAUUGGGUUUAAAGGGUGCGUAGGCUGGAAGGUCAGUCAGCGGUGAAAAGCUAUCGCUUAACGAUAGUCUUGCCGCAGAUACUUCCGUUCUUGGAUGAGGAGGAGGCCACUGGAACGGAUGGUGUAGCGGUGAAAUGCAUAGAUAUCAUCCAGAACACCGAUUGCGAAGGCAGGUGGCUGUACCUUAAUCGACGCUGAUGCACGAAAGCAUGGGGAGCAAACAGGAUUAGGUACCCCAGUAGUCC
rnacentral:rRNA from 1 species